CAGUAGCCGCGGGAAUACGUAGGUGGCAAGCGUUAUCCGGAAUUAUUGGGCGUAAAGCGCGCGUAGGCGGUUUUUUAAGUCUGAUGUGAAAGCCCACGGCUCAACCGUGGAGGGUCAUUGGAAACUGGAAAACUUGAGUGCAGAAGAGGAAAGUGGAAUUCCAUGUGUAGCGGUGAAAUGCGCAGAGAUAUGGAGGAACACCAGUGGCGAAGGCGACUUUCUGGUCUGUAACUGACGCUGAUGUGCGAAAGCGUGGGGAUCAAACAGGAUUAGAUACCCGCGUAGUCCCUGUCUCUUAUAU
rnacentral:rRNA from 1 species